UGGUGAACCAGCGGAGGGAUCAUUACAGAGUUGCAAAACUCCCUAAACCAUUGUGAACCUACCACUAAACAGUUGCUUCGGCGGGUGGCGCGAGGGCCCCUUCACGGGGGCCGGAGCGCCCUAGACAGCCCGCCGGAGGUACUCAAACUCUUGUUUAAUAAGGCCUCUCUGAGUAUUGUACUUAAAUAAGUCAAAACUUUCAACAACGGAUCUCUUGGUUCUGG
rnacentral:misc_RNA from 1 species